GAUGAAACAAACCAUAAAGUGGGCAGUGCUUCAGGCGGUGGUCACAGCUAAGCGGAACAGAGCAGGAGAGGACGGCGGGGACUGGUGUCCAGGAGCUUCUCAGAGAGUGACACUCCAGUGGAGGGAGGCGGGGAGCGAAUGCUUAAAUCACUGGACAGGAGACGCCAGGCAGAGACAGCAGCCGUGCAAAGGCACCUUCAGACUGAUAGGUUUGGGUCGCCCCUGACGGACCCACAGCCCAGGAGUGGCCCUUCCCGAGGUCUGAUUUUGGGAGCUGGCAGAAGCUUCUGAAGAAGACCCUAAGAAACCUCCCAGAUAAUAUCUAACCUCAACCACCAUCGCCGCCCUACCAAGCAGGAGUCCACCCAAGUGCAGCCUGGGGAGCCCGCCACCCAGGACAGGUCCUUCCAGAGCCUGGGAAAAGCUGCUCAAUCCCAGAGCGGGGCCCCCACAUCUCCAGGGCGGACGGGGCGUAACACCGUCCAGGGUUACUGUUCUCCCGGGAGUGUCCUCAACUGGAUUCCUUCAGCACACGCCGUCCAGAGGCCUCCCCUUGGGCACAUGAGGGAGCUGUGACACACGGUUCAAGGUCCCUGCUCCAGGUGCCUGUCCCUCUGUGGCAGGGCGGUGAGGGAACCCGGCUGGCAUCCCUCAGGCCUUCCUGGGACCAGAAGGAGCAUGACCUGCAAAGUUGCUCAAAGCAAGGAUGACUCAAGCAGCCCUUCCGGAUCCCAUUAAGGAUGCGGCAGGCUCAUCCCCCAGAGACUCACAGGCCGGAGAGUUAUUUCCGACCUCAUUUCCAUUUCCUGACAAAGAGAAGUGACAUUUCUGAGUUUCGCCAACAGGUAAAACACCUGAGAAGGCCAUGCCGGGCCUGUGCCAGACCCCCGGGAGCCUGAGCUGAGCGCAGCCGGGCUGAGCGGGCUCACAGGCUUCCCAGCCAGGCUCCCGGGAGGGGACAGCCGGCUCUCAAAUCAUCAUGUCUCACCAACUCAAGGACGUCGGAAAGAAAGCUCUCCUUCCACCCACACACGUGCUGCCACGCCAACACACGUGUGCACGAGUGCACACACACACACACACACAGGCACACACACGCGCACACACAUGAACACAAAUACACACACACACACACACACAUUCACACACGCACACACCUCACAGCUUUCCCUGAUGGUAUCAAAGGGGCCGACGCUGGCCGGUCAGACACCUCUGAGCCGAGAAGGACCUGUGGUGUGCAGCCUCUGGGCUCCUUGUGUCACAUUACUUCUCGCCACAGCCCAGGGCCUGUGCUGUCACUGGCCGCUUCCACAGGUAGGGCACUGGGGCUGGGGCCUGCUCACAUCCCCGGAAGGGGAGCAGCUGGGACCCGAGCCCCGCUGUCCGGACCACAGAGCCCGCCAACCCCCCCCCCCCCCAUGCCUCACGUUGCCCUCGUGUUGGAGGAAGGCUCACAGGACGGGGCCACGCUCAGACACAAACACGCUCACCUACACGCUCAGACACAAACGCAUCUGCCAGUAUUUUGGUGAAACGGCAGUGAAGCCCCUUAUUUAAAGGGAGUCCUUCCAUCUCCAUGUUUGUGUCACACGUAAAUGUUUACACAAUGGUACAUGGAGAAGACUUGGGACCUUGUCUGCCAGACAGUGAGGCCUGGAGGGGUGAAGCAGGUGACCGAGGGCCUCCUGCCGGACCCCCGCCCCCGCCUCGUAAGCCCGAGUCCGGCCUCUGUUGGGCUUCAGCAGCCCGGACACCCGAUGGAGUGGCCAUUGUCCCUCAGCGAUCAAGUCCAUGUGGUGUGCGAGUCCUUCCCCCCUCAGCGUUCCCAGUGGCCGGACACAGUGGCCUCUGCAGUGUCUGUGGGUGGUGAGUAGCCUGAGUGGGUGACCAGGAGCAGUGGGCGGCCAGUCUCCCCUUGGUCUCAACACUGGAGCUGCUCUCCGCACGGCCACUUCGCCGCCCAAUGGACUUUCUCGCGCCCACAGACUCGCCUGGUCCUGGGUCCCACCCCCUCACUUUUGGGAGCUGAGGGGGACCAGUAUUUGCCCAAAACAUGCCUUUCGAGAUAUUGAUUCCCAGACGCAGGAAGAACCUUUGACCCCCGCCCUUACCUGCCUACAGGAAUCCAGGUAGAAACACCUGCUCACAGGAGGGGGCGUCCCCUUAGCCUCAGAGCAUGAACUAACUGGCCAGCAGGAGGGACCAGGCAGAGCCCGGGGCUGGACUCACCGCUGUGUCCCACUGUUUCUGGGUGUCCCAGCCAGAACCUGUUGACCGCACGUUUGCUCUUUCUCACCCACCUGUGAAUGGCCCGCUUUCCCUUCGAAAUCCCAGCCCUGCCUCCCUCUCCUUUGCCCAGAACAGCACAUAAACAUUAGCUGCCACAGCGUCCAGGGUCUCAUGUGCUACGGCACCCCCGCGUGUACAUCUGGGUCUCAUGUGCUACGGCACCCCCGCGUGUACAUGCGUGAUAAACCCGACGUUUUCUCCUGUUACCCUGUCUCCUGUUAAUUUGAUUACUAGCCAGAAGAGCUUAGAAAGGGGGGAAGGGAGUUAUUUUUGACCCCACAGGACACACCAGGCUGGGCUCACAAGUGGCUUUUCUCCAGUGUCUGCGUGUGUCACAGCCUUUGGGGGGCUGCCCUCCGUGGUCAGGAGCCCGCGGUGCCCAACUUCCCCUCCGCGUGUCCCCUUCCCUGGAGGUCUCCCUCACGCCCGCCCCACGGGCCACUCGGUGGGGCUGUUCAUUUCCUGCCUGUGGGCUCGCUGUACGUGCCAAGCAGAAGGGCCUGUCCUGCCCGUGGCUGAUGAGCCCAGACAGGCGCAAGUGUUGUGAGCACAGCGCAUGACAGGAUGAAGGGAUAAGGCGAUGGUGACUGAAGACGAUGGACAGACCAGCGGCCCGGCUGCGUGGUUAAGGCACCGCCGUCUUAGCCCCCGGAACGCGAGCAUCUAGGCUCCGGCGAGAGAGUUUUACUGUUUUUCGGUGACUCCCGCCCCCAGCAUGUAAUGGAAAUACGUGCAAAGUGGGCUCUCGAUAAAUAUUUGUGGAAUGAAAGCAUAAAAAGUUUUCCAUUAAGUUAUGUUUAAUGAAAGUAUUUUAAUAGUAUUGUAAAUAAAACCGAAAAUUCAUUUUACUUUUUCCUUUCCUACAUGGAAGGAUGUAAGAAUACUGCCUGGGAAUAAAUAGAAGAAAAUAA